rnacentral:lncRNA from 1 species
AUAAAAAAAUGUCCGCUAGGUUGAAAAUCUCAAAAGAGGCGGCUUAAGCAAAAGUUAGGACGUAAAAAAAAUAAAAAAUAUACCCAGCCUGAACUACGGUAUGAAUUGAUCCUCUUCACCGAGGUACGUAGGCAGCUUAGAGUUUCAUUCUAAGUUCAGUCGCAUAAUUCAAAAGAUACAUAUUUUCCCAAUUGUUGUCCGAGUGAAGCAUGGAGGAAUGCAAAACAAGUUGAAAUGCUAUCAUUGAUCUCAUUUGAUUUAAAAGCGGAAACCCUCCAUGAUAAAUUGAUAUCUUCACGUCUGUCGGUACUCAAAGUUAAAGUCUUCAAGUUUGUCGGUCUUCAAGUUGAAAUCGUCAAAUUUUCCGAUCUUCAAGUUGAAAUAUUUAGGCCCUCGAAGUCUCAAAGUUGAAGUCUUCAAGUCCACCGGUCUUUAAGUUGAAGUCUUCAAAUUCGCCGAUCUUAAAAUUGAAAUAUUUAAGCCUUCAUGUUGAAGUCUUCAAAGUUCGUCAGUCUUCAAGUUUCAAUCUUCAAAUUCACCGAUCUUAAAGUUGAAUUAUUUAAGCCAUCUGAAUCUUCGAGUUGAAGUCUGCAAAGUCCGUCAAAUAUUCAAAGUUUUCCAAGUGUUCAAGUUGAUGUUGUCUUCAAGUUUAAUCUUUAUAACUUUCCAAUCUUAAAUUGGACAUAUAAGUCGUUUUGCACCUUAAUUUGGCCUCUUCGUGGGUUUGUCCUUAAAAGGAACUAUAAUUUUCCAAUCUUAAGGUGUACAUAGGAGUCUCUUUGCACCUUAAGUUGGCCUCUCUGGUAGUCAGGCCAUUUGAUAGUAAUCUCUCCAAGAAUUUAGCCAUAUUGAGGGUAAUCUCUCCAAGAAUCGGACCACAUUGAGAGUAAUCACUCCGGUAUUCGGACCAUUUUGAGAUUAAUCUCUCCAAGAAUCGGGUCAUUUUGAAAGUAAUUUCUCCAAGAAUUGGGCAACAUUGAGAGUAAUCUCUCCAAGAACCGGGGUAUUUCGAGAGUGAUCUCUCUAAGAAUUGAGCCACGUUGAGAGUAAUCUCUCCAAGAAUCGGUUCAUUUUGAGAGUAACCUCUCCGAUAACUGGGAAAGGAUGAGUACCCAUCCCCUUAUACCCCGAGAUUGUCUUAUUCAUGCGUAAAUCAUCUUGUUGAACAAGAAUAUAUCUCUCUCAUUUGACCUACAAAAAUAUAUAAAAAAAGACAAUAAAGAAGAAAGCACAAGAAAAUAAAAAAGACAUUAC